AAGCAGGAGUAAGUUCAUGAAAGAUGCAUGGGUCUCUAGUAAGUGACUGGUACAGUAUAUUUAAUGAUUCCAGGCUUUAGACUUCUACAAUUAGGCAAACAAACUAAUCUAUAUGUAAGAGAUACACAGUACCUUGUCCAAAUUUUUGUCCAAAUAUUUUCAUACUACAGAUGUGUUCUAGCCCCUCUGACUAACGUUUCAUUUUAACUGAGACUGGAGCAGUGUGGAGCAGCUGAGCCUUGGAAACGUAAAACCAGGGAACAGUAGGUGGUGUGAGACUACAGACCUCGAAUCUUCAUGAGUUCUGGUCUCAGGUAGAUUAAAUUAAUUCAGUGAUGUAGAAGUAAUAAAAUAAAAUAAAAUAAAGUCUGACUUCUGGAAAUGACUCAACAGUUUAACAACAAACUUUCUUUCAAAUCUUGAUACUGUGGUUUGGAUGUUCAGAACAUCCAGGCACUUCCAGAUCAGUAUCAGCUUCAACGGCUCAAAGUUGUUCCAGGAAAUGAAUGAAGUGCCCUGUGUGACCUCCAGUAAGCUUGCUUAUUUCAAGAGAGCUUGGUGUUUUCUCGUGACAACCUUGCAGAUUACUUCGGUGACAAUGUAAGCCUUGUUCCAACACCCAGAGGAAAAGAAAGGUUUUUAAUGAAAUGGUGAGAGUUGAAGGAAGAAGAAUGACUAACACAACACCUUGGCCCACUCAUGGUGAAGAUGAGACUUAAAGGAAGUUUGGCUCCUACUUCCUUUCGAAAUAAUUGCAACACCUAGGAAAAUUAACAUUCAGUCAAUAGCUGGGCUCUGCCAAUGUGCAUUUUCUUCCUUGCAGAACACCGAAAAAAAAAUUGAAUUCCAGAGUACAUUUCUUACUUAGAUUAAGGACACUGACAAGGUCAUUUCUAGUCUGCCCCAGGUACCAUAUGCAAAAGGAUGGGAGUGGGAGGGAGAACACUGAUGAAGAUAACCUGGCACCCUUACUACCUGUGUGACUUUGAGGUUAACUUUUUCAGGCUAAUAUUUGUAUUUGGAAAAUGGGAGUGAUGAUUUUGUAUUUACUCGCAAAGAAGGUUAGAAGGAUUAAACAAGAUAACACAUGUAAGGCACGUAGCACUCUGCCUGGCACUGAGCAAAUGCUACAUAGGAGAUAGCUGCUAUUAAUAGCGCAACACGAUAGUUUCCUUGUGGAAUUUUCUCCCACUGACUCUCUUUCAACUAAGUGGCAGUACUGUUUUUGUAUCUAUUUUAGGAAAAAAUAAAGACCUGCAGAACAAACCUAGUUUCUAUUUCCUUGUCAUGAAAUAAGCUUUCCCUUAAGAAAUACCCAGCACAAAGACAACCC
rnacentral:lncRNA from 1 species